rfam:Triticum urartu cultivar G1812 contig780979, whole genome shotgun sequence.
CACGUACUUCCUUCGUUCAAAAUUACUUGUCACAUAAAUAGAUGUAUCUAGAUGUAUUUUAGUACUAGAUAUAUCCAUUUUCGAGACAAGUAAUUCCGAACGGAGGGAGUAGCUG